rnacentral:rRNA from 1 species
UACGAAGGGGGCUAGCGUUGCUCGGAAUGACUGGGCGUAAAGGGCGCGUAGGCGGAUUGUACAGUCAGGCGUGAAAUUCCCGGGCUCAACCUGGGGGCUGCGCUUGAGACGUGCGAUCUUGAGUGGGGAAGAGGGUCGUGGAAUUCCGAGUGUAGAGGUGAAAUUCGUAGAUAUUCGGAAGAACACCAGUGGCGAAGGCGACUUACUGGACACAUAUUGACGCUGAGGUGCGAAAGCGUGGGGAGCAAACAGG